ensembl:ncRNA R53.10 ncRNA
CCAAUACAAAUCAUCCAACUUUUCCUCUCUUCUCCGUUUCCUGUCCUUUCAUGGACUGCAAAGAAGAAGGAAUAGGCCAAGGUAAACAUUCAAUCUAAAAAGCAAG